GCGCAGCAGGCGCGAAUCUUCCGCAAUGGGCGAAAGCCUGACGGAGCGACGCCGCGUGAUUGAUGAAGUCCUUCGGGACGUAAAGAUCUUUUAUGCGUGAGAAAGUUAUUGAUAGUAGCGCAUGAAUAAGGGGCUCCUAACUCUGUGCCAGCAGGAGCGGUAAUACAGAGGCCCCAAGCAUUAUCCGGAAUCACUGGGGCGUAAAGGGUGUGUAGGCGGUCGUGUUAGUCUUUCGUGAAAGAUCCUUGGGCUUAACCCAGGAGACGCGGGGGAAACGGCACGACUUAGAGGAUAUGAGAGGUAAAGGGAACUCAUGGUGUAGGGGUGAAAUCCGUUGAUAUCAUGGGGAACACCAAAUGCGAAGGCACUUUACUGGCAUACUCCUGACGCUGAAACACGAAAGCGUGGGAAUCGAAUGGGAUUAGAUACCCGCGUAGU
rnacentral:rRNA from 1 species